CUCCCCGCGCCCGGCCGGCCGCCGCGCCGGACACUCACCGGGACGAUGGCGGGGCGCCCGCGCCGCUCCCUCCGCUGAGAGAGCAAGGCCUGAAGUGACUCUCCCCAAGCCGGCCCACCUGUGAGCAGGGGAAGUCAGAAUUCAAACCCAGGAGUGGCUGCAAAGGCCAUGUGUCGGCAGACUGUUUGGAAGCAGGGUUGUCACCGAGGUAACCCCGAUUAAAGGAGGUCUCUGUGAUGUGCCCUGAUCCCAGGUGACUGGUGCCCUGGUGCAAAGGAGAAGUUUGGAGGCCCACAUACACAGAAGACACGGAGAUGACCUCUGCAAGCCGAAGCCAGAGAGUGCGGGCAAGUGGCCGGGAGGCCUGGAACAGGCCAUCGUCGGGAAGCCCCAUGCCCACCUGGAGCUGAGACGUCUUACCUGGGACACGAUACGUUUCUGUUGAGGUGCCUACUUUGUGGGCGUUCUGGUGCUAACGGAAACCCAGAGGUCCAAGUGAAGCAGGGGUUUUGCUCCACAUCCCUGGGCGAUCGCUCUGGGUGAUGCUGUACUCUAAGUCAGAACGUCAGUGGUUGGACUCCUGCUGGGAGUUUUAACGCAAAUAGUCCAUGGACAAACCAGCCAAUGUUCUUAUCUCUGCGCUCACAAUUUCUGACACCCCUGAUGUUCUUACAGACAAGUGAAGCCCUUCAUCGCCCUGCUGGUACAAGCGUCAUUCACUGUUCUGACCUUGGGGCCUGCCAUGCGGCACAAUCAGUUAAGCCUCUGCCUGCAGCACCAGCAUCCUCUAGGGGUGCAAGUUCAAGUCCUGGCUGCUACACUUCCAAUCCCACUCCCUGGUAGUGCACCUAGGAAAGCAGCAAAGAUGGCCCAAGUGCUUGGGCCCCUGCACCCAAGUGGAAGGCCUGGAAGAAGCUCCUGGCUUCAGCUUGGCCCAGCCCAGCCCCGGCCAUUGUGGCCAUCUGGGGAGUGAAACAGCAGGUGGAAGACCUCUCUCUCUCUCUCUCUCUCUCUCUCU